rnacentral:tRNA from 1 species
GCCUUCGUGGUGUAGUGAUCAGCACGUUGGGCGCGUAUUCCAGAGGCCCGUGGUUAGAUUCCCGCCGAAGACG